GCGGCGGGAAUAGGGGCUUCUACUCAGACCCAAGACUCUCGUAACCCGACAGCGCCUUGGAGCCUAAAUCUAAGCACGAUUCAGACAGGACGCUCGUCGCGUCUUGCCAGAGCCCCAACCACGGAUUGCGAACUCUGCCCGAGCUAGGGGCCGCCUGCUGCUCCCUGGACCUUGCUGACCCGGAUCUCGGAGCAAGUACCUUGGGAGGCAGCCUGAUGAGGGAAGAAGGGGAAAGCGGGGCACGUUCAGCCAUUUCUUCUCACCCGUCCUUUCUAUCCUUCGUUCAGCAUAGGGGGGCCAGCAUAUGGGUGAGGGGGUACUCCCUGGGGCUUGAGCUGCCCCGCACAGGAUGCCCCGUGCCCCCCACUCCAUGCCCUUGCUGCUGCUGUUGCUGCUGUCACUCCCCC
rnacentral:lncRNA from 1 species